GAGUCUUUGUAGUAAUACAAGGCAUACGGCUCAGUAACGCGUAGUCAACCUACCCUAUGGACAAGAAUAAUCUCGGGAAACUGAGCAUAAUUCUUGAUAGAUCAUAAUGCCUGGAAUGGUUUAUGGUUAAAAUGAUUCGUCGCCAUAGGAUGGGACUGCGGCCUAUCAGCUUGUUGGUGAGGUAAUGGCCCACCAAGGCGAUUACAGGUACGGGCUCUGAGAGGAGAAGCCCGGAGAUGGGUACUGAGACACGGACCCAGGCCCUAUGGGGCGCAGCAGGCGAGAAAACUUUGCAAUGUGCGAAAGCACGACAAGGUUAAUCCGAGUGAUUUCUGCUAAAGAAAUCUUUUGCCAGUCAUAAAACCACUGGUGAAUAAGGGGUGGGCAAGUUCUGGUGUCAGCCGCCGCGGUAAAACCAGCACCUCAAGUGGUCAGGAUGAUUAUUGGGCCUAAAGCAUCCGUAGCCGGCUUUGUAAGUUUUCGGUUAAAUCCAUGUGCUCAACGCAUGGGCUGCCGAAAAUACUGCAUGGCUAGGGAGUGGGAGAGGUAGACGGUACUCAGUAGGAAGGGGUAAAAUCCUUUGAUCUAUUGAUGACCACCUGUGGCGAAGGCGGUCUACCAGAACACGUUCGACGGUGAGGGAUGAAAGCUGGGGGAGCAAACCGGAUUAGAUACCCGGGUAGUCCCAGCUGUAAACGAUGCAGACUCGAUGAUGCAUUGGCAUAAUAGCCAGUGCAGUGUCGCAGGGAAGCCGUUAAGUCUGCCGCCUGGGAAGUACGUACGCAAGUAUGAAACUUAAAGGAAUUGGCGGGGGAGCACCACAAGGGGUGAAGCCUGCGGUUCAAUU
rnacentral:rRNA from 1 species